rnacentral:rRNA from 1 species
GACGUAGGGCGCGAGCGUUGUCCGGAUUUAUUGGGCGUAAAGAGCUCGUAGGCGGCUUGUCGCGUCGACUGUGAAAUCCCGCGGCUCAACCGCGGGUCUGCAGUCGAUACGGGCAGGCUAGAGUUCGGUAGGGGAGACUGGAAUUCCUGGUGUAGCGGUGAAAUGCGCAGAUAUCAGGAGGAACACCGAUGGCGAAGGCAGGUCUCUGGGCCGAUACUGACGUGAGGAGCGAAAGCGUGGGGAGCGAACAGG